ACUGCUCAGUAACACGUGGACAACCUACCCUCAGGAGGGGGAUAACCCCGGGAAACUGGGGAUAAUACCCCAUAGACCAGGGACGCUGGAAUGCCUCCUGGUCCAAAGGUCCGCCGCCUGAGGAUGGGUCUGCGGUCGAUUAGGUUGUUGUUGGGGUAACGGCCCAACAAGCCUUUGAUCGGUACGGGUUGUGAGAGCAAGAGCCCGGAGAUGGAUUCUGAGACACGAAUCCAGGCCCUACGGGGCGCAGCAGGCGCGAAAACUUUACAAUGCGAGAAAUCGUGAUAAGGGAACCCCGAGUGCCCGUAAAUUCGGGCUGUCUGCCAGUGCAAAUAGCUGGUGAAGAAAGGGCCGGGCAAGACCGGUGCCAGCCGCCGCGGUAAUACCGGCGGCUCGAGUGGUGGCCACUAUUACUGGGCUUAAAGCGUCCGUAGCUUGAUUGUUAAGUCUCUUGGGAAAUCCACCGGCUCAACCGAUGGGCGUUCAGGAGAAACUGGCAAUCUAGGGACCGGGAGAGGUGAGAGGUACUCCAGGGGUAGGAGUGAAAUCCUGUAAUCCUUGGGGGACCACCUGUGGCGAAGGCGUCUCACUAGAACGGCUCCGACAGUGAGGGACGAAAGCUGGGGGAGCAAACCGGAUUAGAUACCCGGGUAGUCCCAGCUGUAAACGAUGCGCGUUAGGUGUAUCGGUGACCACGAGUCAUCGAGGUGCCGAAGGGAAACCGUGAAACGUGCCGCCUGGGAAGUACGGUCGCAAGGCUGAAACUUAAAGGAAUUGGCGGGGGAGCAC
rnacentral:rRNA from 1 species